UCCAUGGAGAAAUAUUAUUUGGAUUAUAGA
rnacentral:piRNA from 1 species